GGCCUCUUAAUACAGUCCCGAGACACGGGAAACCAAAGGUAGAAGAGGCUGCUGCCAGGGAGAAGGACAUACCUUUUCACAGGAAACCUUGAAGAAAAAGUAUACACUAAAAUAAUGUUUGGAACAUAGCACGGUAAAUACAUAAGCGGCAACAGAGCUAUUGUCAAGUAUUCUGUACUGUACACAACCGAUGUGUUGUACUUUGGCAGCAACACAUUUACAUAUGAAUAACAAGCAUUUUUGAUAGCUAUGAUAACACCUAGUGAUAUGAAAAUUCAGCUCUCUUACAAUCUCAUGAGACCACUGUCAUGUAUACAAAAUGUUGUCAUGUAUCAUGUAAGGAUUGAAUAAUAAAUGCAGAGACCCACAGCCAUACAUUUUACACACACACACAUACACACACACACACACACACACACACACACACACACACUAAAUAGGUUCCUUGAACACUCAGCUGGCACAUUUAAGUGGUUAGGUAUCACCAUCAAAUCUCCCCUCCCCCGUCCAGAGCUCAGGGACCCCAUGGAAGAGAAGGCUGACAGAGUGUAGGAGCCAGAGGGGAUGGAGGACACUGAGGAGACAAGACCCUCUAAAUCAGUAUGAACUAAACUCCUAUGAAGUCUCAGAGACAGAAGCAGCGUGGAUGGGGCUGUAUGGGUCCACACCAGACGCUCUGCAUGUAUAUCACAGCAUUCAGGUUAGUGUUCUAUGGGACUUCUGAGUGUGUGAAUAACUGCGCCUCUGAUUCUUGUGCCUUCUCUUGGGCUCUUUUCCUUCAGUUGGUUUGUCUUGUCCAACUUUGACAUGGUAAUUUUUUUAUUAUAUUUUAUUUUGUUGUAUUUU
rnacentral:lncRNA from 1 species